AAGGCCUUAGUUUAGUAAAAAUGUCUGAUUUGCAAUCAGGAGAUGUGAGUUAAUUUCUUGCAGGUCUUA
rnacentral:tRNA from 2 species